UUUUAUGGUUGUCAUGCGCAGGGCCUCUUCGGGGGCGCCGGUUCCAGUACUCCGGUCUACCAACCUGUGCAUGGCCACCGCCCUU
rnacentral:antisense_RNA from 1 species